GCUAGUGCUUGGUCCAAGACGCGUUUCGCCUAUGUAGUUCGGCUUUGUCAAUUGGUAAAUACAUGCUGCAAAUACAAACUUUAAAUAUCCCUUAGUGAUAGCUAAUUGGAGAAUGGCGUCCGUGAUACAUCCAAUCACGGUGCUCAUGUUGGUGGGAGUAUAGGGACUCAGCUGCUGAUAAUAUUCCCAACAUCGUGAUGUCAUCACGCACGACGACUCAUGCGUGUGACAUCACACGCGGAAGUAAAAUCUUCGUGAAAGUCCGUCCCACAUUGAUGAUACCUCCAAAGAGUAUAGUGCUUAGUUAGAAUGUCCGGAAUGUCCCCUCCAGCUUCCAAUCGUGACGUAGGGGUUUUGCUUCUCACGAUGGGUGUCCGCCAUUUUUCUUAGGGGCAAUGUAUUGGAAAUCAAUGUCCAUAUGUAGUCCGAUGUUAG